GUACAUGAUGACUGACAUUUCUUCACUUUGACCUGAGAUCUGCUGAAGAAAUCUAAUAUCUGAGA
ensembl:snoRNA